GACGAACCGUGCGAACGUUGUUCGGAAUCACUGGGCUUAAAGGGCGCGUAGGCGGGCUUAAAAGUCAGGGGUGAAAUUCCGCGGCUCAACCGUGGAAGUGCCUCUGAUACUGUAAGUCUCGAGGGAGGUAGGGGCGUGCGGAACUUCCGGUGGAGCGGUGAAAUGCGUAGAUAUCGGAAGGAACACCGGUGGCGAAAGCGGCGCGCUGGACCUCUUCUGACGCUGAGGCGCGAAAGCCAGGGGAGCAAACGGG
rnacentral:rRNA from 1 species